GAGAUUCCCACCUAGUGUAUUUUUUGUUGUGUGUGAGUGAGAACCCCUCGUAUCCGCAUCGGCGAAGCCAGAGAGAAGGAGUAGGCACGGUCCAGGGCCUUUGGGAGAAGGAGGACGGCGAGGCGAGCCACGGGACCGGCCCCAUCGCUGCGAUAAUGAAGGACGGGAAGCAGGCAUCUGAACGGAUCCUGAACAUCACCUUGGAGAUCAUCUACCUGCUCACUGGAGAGGAUUAUGUAAUUGUGAAGAAGCCAUGCGAGUGCGUCGCGCGCAGCCGAGAUCCGUGCACGUCGGACGGGUGCUGCAGGACCCAGCGGCCCGGCGCGUUGC